rnacentral:lncRNA from 1 species
GACUUGGGUAGGUAAUGUUCCUUCUCUUGUGUAUGUGAUUUUAAUUUUUUGCUCUUUACUUUAUUUAUUUUCUCCCUACUGUUUUAGUUUAGGCUAGAUAUUUGACAUUAGCUUUGAUUUAUUAUGUGUUUAUCUGUACAUGUCUAUUUUAUUUGCUAUUUUGGGUUAGUUAUAAUGUUUUGAGCUUGACUUGAUCUCUUUUCUCUAGCAAAGGUCACUUAGAGUAGUGUAGCAUUGUUGAAUUAAUUACUGCGGGAC